rnacentral:tRNA from 1 species
GCCUGGAUGGCUCAGUUGGUUAAGUGUCUGACUCUUGAUUUCAGCUCAGGUCACAAUCUCAGUUUGUGAGUUCAAGCCUCACAUCAGGCU